rnacentral:lncRNA from 1 species
UUUUAGGAGAUAAUAAUUAAUUUAGUAAUGCUAAUAUUAGAACAAUUAACAUUAUCAAAACAAUUUAGAUUUAUAGUGAUUUAGGGGAUUAUAAAAUCAAAAUAUUAAUUUGGGAUUAAAAAAUAGUGCUUUUAGGAGAUAAUAAUUAAAUUAGAAAUGAUAAUAUCAGAACAGUUGACAUUACCAAAAUAAUUUAGAUUUGUAGUGAUUUAAUGGAUUAUAAAUUUAAAAUAUUAUUUUGGAAUUAAAAAAGUAGUGAUUUUAAAAGUUAAUAAUUAAU